UCCUGAAUUGAUUAUGAUACAAUUAAUAAAUAUAAGUACCAACACUAAAUUCUUGAGAAACAAAAAAGAGAACACAGGCUUUGAAUGGAGAAAACAGUUCAAUUUAAGCUAAAAAAAAUUAUAACUGACAGAAUCUUCACAGCAAAUAUAUAUUUUAACUCAUUAAAGCUGAACACAAAGUGAAACAGAUGAGAGACAUAAGGAUAGGUAGAGUGCUUCUGAACUUCUUUUUUUAUACAUAUAGGAAAUUAAAAUGAGGUUUAUCCCAUCUCAAUUUCUCCAAAUGAUAGUGGUUUGGGUUCAGUGACAUUUUUUUCCUAGAACCAUUAAGCCUAAACUAGAUGCUAUGCCCAUAGCCAACUCAAUCGCUCACAUGGACUAUAUAUUUAUUUUCGAAUCAUCUCAAAAAGGCAAGAGAAGAUAAUUUUGUAGAACAAGAAAUGAUAAGCAUUUGUGUUUUGACACACUGAACAAGCCAGAAUGGUAAAAGAAACCAAAUUAUGCAAAUCUGAAUAGAGCAGAAUAACAAAAUGAUAAACUAGGAGAUGAAAAAAGAUUUUGCUGAAUCACUUUUUUGAGAAUCUAAGGGCAGAAAUAUAUUGAUCCAAGCUCCUCUAACUUAAAAGUAAGCACCAUUAAUCUUUUGUCCUUUAAAGGAAAGGAAAAUUGACAGAAACCCCUACAAGGAGGCAAGCUUAGGUAGACAGUAAGCAUGGAUUGUGGUGUGAAAUUUCAACUGCAAGCAUCAAGGACACUCCUUUUUUUCUCCCUUUAUUGAGAUGAAUAAAGGUAAUAUUGUUAGACAAAUUAUAAAAAAGUCAGCCUGGAAAUUCACUAGAAAAAAUAUAUAGCAGAAAGUAUUUUAAGGCGUAAUUCAAAAUACCAGCCACUUUUCAUGUAACAAAAAAGGAUUUUUGAGGGGAAAAUUGGUUUUCAAUGAUACACAUAUGGAAGAAAGAACACCCAUUAUAUCUAACAAUUCAGCACCCAGAACCCAGACGGUCAAAAAGAUUACUGAAUUUGCUUAAAUUAAAAACACAAAAAUUACCUAACAAAAAUGGCAACAAAUCUAAUUUUCCCAUUAUAAAAAAAAAAAAUGAUUCUUCAGUGAAUCAUCUAGCUAGUUACUUGACAAACUAGUUAUAUACAUAGGCCUGCAAUCUCCAAAGGAACCUGAACCAAAUCAAUCAUAAGCAUAAAACAAAGAAUCCCAAAGCACUGACUUUUCCAAACCAAAACAAAACAGUGGAAAAGAAAACCCAUUAAUUAUUUUGAUUUUUUAAGAAAUGGGUCUCUCAAAAUCCAAAAAACCAAUCAAGAUCAAUAAUAACAAUCAUUUUACCUUAUCAUCAGUUUCUGUAUCUUCUUCUCCAUGAUCUCUUUUAUCAUUGUUAUUAUAAUCGUCAGUAAUAUUGGUCUCAUCAAGAGAAGAGUUUGCACAAGAAGGACGGUCUUGAUCUUGACUAUCGUCGUCAUCAUCAUCAUCUGUGGUGGUAGCAGUAGUAACAGAGAUCUCUGGCACUUGAAUAGUCUUCCCGAACAGCUUAAAUGCCUGGUCUUUUGGCUCCGACAUUUCUGCCUGUUUUUCUUUUAUUGAACAACUAAAAAAACUGUAAGCUUGUAGAGAGAGAAAGAAAGGGGGAAUACUGCUAUUUUUAGAGAGAGAAAAGCGUGUAAA